rnacentral:rRNA from 1 species
AUGAACGCUGACAGAAUGCUUAACACAUGCAAGUCGAUGGGGAAGUGGUGCUUGCACCAUGGCAACCAUGGCGGACGGGUGAGUAACGCGUAAGGGACUUACCUGCAGGACUGGGAUAACAGGGGGAAACCCCUGACAAGACCGGAUAAUGUCAUGGAGCUGCAUGGCUUUAUGAUGAAAGGAGACGCCUGCGGAGAGCCUUGCGUCCUAUUAGCUAGUUGGUGAGGUAAUGGCUCACCAAGGCGAAGAUAGGUAGCCGGCCUGAGAGGGUGGACGGCCACAAGGGGACUGAGAUACGGCCCUUACUCCUACGGGAGGCAGCAGUGGGGAAUAUUGGACAAUGGGGGCAACCCUGAUCCAGCAAUUCUGUGUGCACGAAGAAGGUUUUCGGAUUGUAAAGUGCUUUCAGCAGGGAAGAAGUAAGUGACGGUACCUGCAGAAGAAGCGACGGCUAAAUACGUG